rnacentral:misc_RNA from 1 species
AUGAAAUGAUGAUUUUUUGGGGUUUUUUAAAUUCCAAAAAAUAAUUCACCAUUUGUGCAUUGUUAUUAGAUAUACUUUGGUAAGAGCUUUGAUUUCAUUUAUUGGAAUCAACUUCUUGCUGACUCUAUCCUUUCUGAGGACAGUUGGCUAUGAAGCGGCCUACCAAGGUUUUUUAUCAAACUCUUGUAUUUUGUCUGACCUAAAUUACUAUAAUGAAAUCA